GACGAACGCUGGCGGCGCGCCUAACACAUGCAAGUCGAACGAGCGAGAGAGAGCUUGCUUUCUCGAGCGAGUGGCGAACGGGUGAGUAACGCGUGAGGAACCUGCCUCAAAGAGGGGGACAACAGUUGGAAACGACUGCUAAUACCGCAUAAGCCCACGGGUCGGCAUCGACCAGGGGGAAAAGGAGCAAUCCGCUUUGAGAUGGCCUCGCGUCCGAUUAGCUAGUUGGUGAGGUAACGGCCCACCAAGGCAACGAUCGGUAGCCGGACUGAGAGGUUGAACGGCCACAUUGGGACUGAGACACGGCCCAGACUCCUACGGGAGGCAGCAGUGGGGAAUAUUGCACAAUGGGGGAAACCCUGAUGCAGCGACGCCGCGUGGAGGAAGAAGGUCUUCGGAUUGUAAACUCCUGUUGUUGGGGAAGAUAAUGACGGUACCCAACAAGGAAGUGACGGCUAACUACGUGCCAGCAGCCGCGGUAAAACGUAGGUCACAAGCGUUGUCCGGAAUUACUGGGUGUAAAGGGAGCGCAGGCGGGAAGACAAGUUGGAAGUGAAAUCUAUGGGCUCAACCCAUAAACUGCUUUCAAAACUGUUUUUCUUGAGUAGUGCAGAGGUAGGCGGAAUUCCCGGUGUAGCGGUGGAAUGCGUAGAUAUCGGGAGGAACAUCAGUGGCGAAGGCGGCCUACUGGGCACCAACUGACGCUGAGGCUCGAAAGUGUGGGUAGCAAACAGGAUUAGAUACCCUGGUAGUCCACACCGUAAACGAUGAUUACUAGGUGUUGGAGGAUUGACCCCUUCAGUGCCGCAGUUAACACAAUAAGUAAUCCACCUGGGGAGUACGACCGCAAGGUUGAAACUCAAAGGAAUUGACGGGGGCCCGCACAAGCAGUGGAGUAUGUGGUUUAAUUCGACGCAACGCGAAGAACCUUACCAAGUCUUGACAUCCCUUGACAGACAUAGAAAUAUGUAUUCUCUUCGGAGCAAGGAGACAUGUGGUGCAUGGUUGUCGUCAGCUCGUGUCGUGAGAUGUUGGGUUAAGUCCCGCAACGAGCGCAACCCUUAUGGUCAGUUACUACGCAAGAGGACUCUGGCCAGACUGCCGUUGACAAAACGGAGGAAGGUGGGGAUGACGUCAAAUCAUCAUGCCCUUUAUGACUUGGGCUACACACGUACUACAAUGGCGUUAAACAAAGAGAAGCAAGACCGCGAGGUGGAGCAAAACUCAGAAACAACGUCCCAGUUCGGACUGCAGGCUGCAACUCGCCUGCACGAAGUCGGAAUUGCUAGUAAUCGUGGAUCAGCAUGCCACGGUGAAUACGUUCCCGGGCCU
rnacentral:rRNA from 1 species